AAAAAAUCGCUCCGCCAGACAGCAGCAACAUACGACGCCCAGCUGGCCGCUGGCGUAAGGACCCAUCGCAAGCAUGACGAAAAAAUCGUUAAGAAAACCCAUCAUGGUGCUCCGAAGCCGUAAAACGGCCAUCAUAAAGGACGGCGUGAUAACGAGUUCCGGCAUCGGUGAGCCGAGCGUGUAUCAUGCCUUAGUAGUCAUAUUUUUGGAAUUCUUCGCCUGGGGCCUGCUCACGAUGCCCGUGAUAAAUGUCCUCAAUCAAACCUUCCCGGACCACACCUUCCUCAUGAACGGGCUGGUGAUGGGCAUCAAGGGUAUCCUGUCGUUCCUGAGUGCACCGCUCAUCGGCGCCCUGUCGGACGUGUGGGGCCGGAAGUUUUUCCUGCUCAUCACGGUGUUCUUCACCUGCGCUCCGAUACCGCUGAUGUCGAUCAACUCGUGGUGGUUCUUUGCAAUGAUCUCAAUCAGUGGCGUGUUCGCGGUAACGUUUUCGGUUGUGUUUGCGUACGUGGCUGACGUGACCACGGUAGAGGAUCGGUCACGAGCCUACGGUCUGGUGUCGGCCACGUUUGCUGCCAGCUUAGUUAUUUCACCCGCCCUGGGGGCGUAUCUGAACGAUAAGUACUCGGAGCCGCUGAUCGUGGCCCUCGCGACUGCCAUCGCCGUGCUGGAUGUGUUCUUCAUUCUGGUGGCGGUGCCGGAAAGUUUACCGGAGAAGGUUCGCCCCAGCUCGUGGGGGGCACCGAUCAGCUGGGAGCAGGCAGAUCCGUUUGCGGCACUCCGUAAGGUUGGUCUCGAUCAAACGAUCCUGAUGCAGUGCGUCACGGUGCUGCUGUCGUAUCUGCCCGAAGCUGGACAAUAUUCGUGCAUCUUCGUCUAUCUGAAGCUCAAGAUGCACUUCAGCUCGAUCGACGUGUCGAUCUUCAUUGCCGUCGUCGGUAUACUAAGUAUACUGACGCAGGUCAUCCUAGGCGAUCUAAUGAAGGCACUUGGUGCGAAGCGUACAAUAAUAAUAGGAUUACUGUUCGAAAUGUUGCAGCUUCUGUGGUACGGCUUUGGCAGCCAAACAUGGAUGAUGUGGGCAGCGGGUAUCCUGGCAUCGCUAGCGUCAAUUACGUACCCCGCGAUCAGUGCAUUCGUGUCGAUACAUUCCAACCCGGACCAACAGGGAGUGGUUCAGGGUAUGGUCACCGGAAUGCGCGGCCUGUGCAACGGUUUGGGGCCGGCCAUGUUCGGCGUCAUAUUCUACGUGUUUCACGUGGACCUGAACGACGAGCAUAACGUGCCGGCGGCGGCCGGCGGUCACGCCCUGAACGGGCUCGGUGCCGGUGGCGGCAUAUUCGACAGUUCCGACGCGCGGUUCGUGCGCAACGAAACGCUGCUGCACGGUGGUGGUGGUGGCGUCGGUGCGUCGUCCGGCAUCGGUGGAGUGCACCAUCAUAUCGAGGACGAGUACUCGCAGCUGAUGCCGGGCCCACCGUUCGUGUUCGGUGCCCUGAUGGUGAUUUGUGCGAUCGCCGUCGCCGCCUUCAUUCCGGAAGUGCCGAGCGACAACAUCCGGCGACCAUCGGGUGAGAAGAAAAAGAGCGGCUAUCGGUGCCAAGACCGAUUGACGGUUGUGAUUGGAGACUGAUUGCUUGGGUCGCGAUACGGUGCAUAAAAAGGCAACGCUAACCGCCCAGACGUACCGCGGGUUUGAAUGAAGGAAAUGUAGUGAACCCCCCACGCCUGUGUGUACCGCUGCGCCGUCUCUGCGAUGUUGCCACUUUUCUUGCCAAGUUCUUCCUUUAAUCCGUUCCCACCCAAUGCACACGCUUACCUACCUACGAAGCGGGAGAGAUAGUGUGUCCCCUGUUUUCAAAGUACGCCACCACCUCUUCGGGGGGUCAAACAAUGAUGAUCACACUUUUCUCCGUUCUCACCGUGUGCCCUAAAGCAGCGGGAUCCCUCAUCCCGGCGGAGGCAGUGUUUAUCGACCGACUCUCACUGGACGUGGAUUAUGAAUACGAGCGUGGCCGGAAGGUGGCCGGCCCACUGUCACCCCUGAUGCACCAGGAUUCCGCGCAGCUAUAGUUUAGCAGUGCCGCCAGCCCACGGCAGCACUGGCCAGCCAUCGUCCAUCGAACGGCCAACGAAAGGAACAACGUUCCUUCGUGGUACGCGGUGCACUCGGCCGGGCCACUAUCGUAAAAUCAGCGCCCCGUCGUCACCGCCCCCAAAAACCCCGAUCGUCAUCAUCGACACUAGUUUGUACAAUCUUUUUCUAGCAUCUAAGAGGAAGCAAUUGCGGAACAGGGCAUCCAGGGGAGGCCCUAAGUGGAACGGAUCGAUGAUCGGACCUAUUGAAGUAUGGCAUUCGUUUUGUGUUUUCUGCGAGCUGAUCGUUCUGUCUCGCUUUUUUUUGCCAGAAGAGUGUUUUAUGCAUCACUAUAUGAUCAUCUUCCUUCUUGUUUUAACCAAAACACUCGGCCUGUUUCGUGCAGAAGGAAGUUCCUCAGAACCAAAAUUUUAUCAACAACUCCGUCAACCUGCGUUACACGCUGCAUUAUUAAAAGGGAGUUUUCUGUUUGUUGAUAUCAAUUUCCUUUUUACGUUGGGACCGAAAGCUUUAAAACUGAUCGUCGGUUGUUGUUCUUGUUGUUGUUGUUGGGGAGGUGUUGGUGUGGCCCCUCAGGGCGCGGCAGCUACCAGGAGAGAGAAGACCGGCGGAGAGCGCGAUUAUGGAGGAUUUUGUUUUUCUUUUGGGACGAACCUGCUCUCGAUGUCGAGUCAAUUGAUGGACGUUCACGCAUGGUCAGACACCGUUAGUUGAUCCCCCCUAGGCCUGGCUGUCUGUGGCCGGUCUUGAGUGUUGGACCUCCUGGUGGGGUAAUGGGGGCAGAGUGGCAGGAAAAAAUCCGAGUGAUAGUAGGUGAUAAGGUUAACGUUAACGAGUUGUGCGAUGGUAAGGAGCUGCUAGACUGUCCCGACGAGAGCGCGAAUGUGAUCGGUCAGCAUAUGUGUGUGACGCGUACGGAAUCGUAAUGUAGAGAGAGAGAGAGAGAGAGAGCGAGCGAGAGCGGACAGUACGAAAAAUGUAUAUCCUUUUCGCUAUUGUCGCCACUGGGUGUGAUACGAUUAAGUGUAUUUGUGUAAAUUAUUUUAAGUGAACCUUUGUAAGAUUUAACACGUUUUUGGGGCAUCGCGUUACAGGAUUGAUUUCGAUUUUAAUACCAUCCAAAACUGGUGGAGGCCGCGCCGUUGUUGGGGUAACAGUUUGCGCGGAGUACGAUCAUUUGAAUGAUUUCGUGACACUUGUCAUUUGUCUUGUGUACUAAGUAGCAGUUUGUGCGCAACUUUGGUCAGUAGUGUUCGGCCUCUAGCGGUGUUCGUUUUGUACUUCAAAACUGUGCGCGAUCGUGCAAGAUAUUGGGGGCCCCCGAACGUCACACGAAGUGGCAGCACCCAGAAGAAUGCUGGGCCAUUGUGCUAUAGGUACGACAACAAAACACACACAUUAGUAAUGUAACACAGGAUGUGCUGCAGCGCAAAGUAAUAAGAAGAAACGCAAGAUCGAACACUCGAUCGUAGUGUGAUGAAGUGAUCGUAUCGUAAAACUACCAGGCGAAACACACUGUUUAGUCCAAAGAUUAUGCAUUAACUUGUGAGCUAUUAGGGCUAGAAGUUUAGAGAGUAAAACCAGAAGCAGAGUAAACACUUGCGGCUUCAACGCGCUAGAGGCGUGUGAUGCGCCUGUUGUCUGCAUCUGAGGCCCUGAAAUCAAUAAACCACUUAUAAAAAUCUAAUGCAAAACAAAAGAUCAGCAGCAGCAACACAUACCUAUUUAGGCAAAGGCGGUGGCCCCCGCAGGCUUCAGUAGACAGAGUUCCGUUGGCCCAAGCGGCGAAUACGUUUGUAAAAAUAAGAACCGGGUUUUGUGGCUGUGGCCGGUGGGGGUGCAGUCACAAAAGUGAAACAAACCGAGUAGAAGAUUAAUCAAAAUAUGGCCCUAUCCUUGGCCCUCUCCGUAUAUUGAUUGCGCGCGCAUGCAUUGCGCCGCUCGUGGUGCAACCGGGUGGCGCCGGAUGCACCACCGAAGAGAGCACCUUUCCUUACGCGCACGCGCAGCACACACAAUAUCAAAGAAGAACUGAAAUGUGUUCGCGUGUGCUCCGUUUUCAUUUUAUGCGCCCAGUUUUUUGCAGCGCUAUAGUUCCAAAGUUUUGUAUGUUUUCUGUUCUCCUCAACCCUUUUGGCCCCGCCAACAGCACCGGGCGAACGCCUGGUGUGUGCCAUCUGGGGGUAACCCGUAGACGGCGACGGGGGUUUUUAGAACUCACGAGAUAAUAAUUAUGAUAAUGAUAACAAUGCGUAGACGUUACUCUUUAUAGCCUCUUGUCCUUUUUCUCUUGCGGGGAGAGGGAGCAAAAUGAUAACAAAAUCGAGCAGAGACAAGACCAGCCAGCAGCUGCGUUCCUUGCCGUGUGCUAAGAGGAACGGACACAAACACGUGUCCAGCCCAGCCCAGUUCAAUAAAUUUGUAAAUUGUAAUUGAAACCACGCAGAGACUAUACAGCAAUAGUGCACACAAAAGGCAAAAACAGACACAGAAACCAAACACAAAACGUGCAGAAGGACACAGUAUUCAGCAGCGUGUGUUUGUUGGCGUGGCCGAAAACCGAGAGUGUCAAAGAGGUAGAGCGAGAGAUUGCGCGAGACAGGGUGUCCGUGAGGCUGUUUCCGUUGGCGGGGGACAGGUUACGGUGCGAAAAGUAGGUCAAACGAAUGGUGGAGAAGAGGACGAGAAUAAAAA